CUACGGUUAGCUCAGUUGGUAGAGCAAAGGACUGUAGUUAUUACCAAGUCAGUAAUCCUUAGGUCACCAGUUCGACCCCGGUACGGUAGA
rnacentral:tRNA from 1 species